rnacentral:tRNA from 1 species
GUUAAGGUGGCAGAGCCUGGAUAUUGCAAAAGGCCUAAGCCCUUUCCACAGAAGUUCAAAUCCUCUCCUUAACU